rnacentral:rRNA from 1 species
CCUACGGGAGGCAGCAGUGGGGAAUAUUGCACAAUGGGGGGAACCCUGAUGCAGCAACGCCGCGUGGGUGAAGAAGUACUCCGGUAUGUAAAGCCCUGUCAGCAGGGAAGAAAAUGACGGUACCUGACCAAGAAGCCCCGGCUAACUACGUGCCAGCAGCCGCGGUAAUACGUAGGGGGCAAGCGUUAUCCGGAUUUACUGGGUGUAAAGGGAGCGUAGACGGCAAGGCAAGUCUGGAGUGAAAGCCCGGGGCCCAACCACGGGACUGCUUUGGAAACUGUGUUUCUGGAGUGCAGGAGGGGUAAGCGGAAUUCCUAGUGUAGCGGUGAAAUGCGUAGAUAUUAGGAGGAACACCGGUGGCGAAGGCGGCUUACUGGACUGUAACUGACGUUGAGGCUCGAAGGCGUGGGGAGCAAACAGGAUUAGAUACCCGAGUAGUC